GACGAACCGUGCGAACGUUAUUCGGAAUCACUGGGCUUAAAGGGUGCGUAGGCGGGUUGCCAAGUCUGUGGUGAAAUCCUCCGGCUUAACCGGAGAACUGCCGUGGAUACUGGCGACCUCGAGGGGUGUAGGGGCUUGCGGAACUGUGCGUGGAGCGGUGAAAUGCGUUGAUAUGCACAGGAACUCCGGUGGCGAAAGCGGCGAGCUGGACACCUUCUGACGCUGAGGCACGAAAGCCAGGGGAGCGAACAGG
rnacentral:rRNA from 1 species